rnacentral:rRNA from 2 species
CAGUGUCUGGUGGGUAGUUUGACUGGGGCGGUCUCCUCCUAAAGAGUAACGGAGGAGCACGAAGGUUGGCUAAUCCUGGUCGGACAUCAGGAGGUUAGUGCAAUGGCAUAAGCCAGCUUGACUGCGAGCGUGACGGCGCGAGCAGGUGCGAAAGCAGGUCAUAGUGAUCCGGUGGUUCUGAAUGGAAGGGCCAUCGCUCAACGGAUAAAAGGUACUCCGGGGAUAACAGGCUGAUACCGCCCAAGAGUUCAUAUCGACGGCGGUGUUUGGCACCUCGAUGUCGGCUCAUCACAUCCUGGGGCUGAAGUAGGUCCCAAGGGUAUGGCUGUUCGCCAUUUAAAGUGGUACGCGAGCUGGGUUUAGAACGUCGUGAGACAGUUCGGUCCCUAUCUGCCGUGGGCGCUGGAGAACUGAGGGGGGCUGCUCCUAGUACGAGAGGACCGGAGUGGACGCAUCACUGGUGUUCGGGUUGUCAUGCCAAUGGCACU